GGGGCCGUGGUUCAGUUGGGAGAACGCCUGCUUUGCACGCAGGAGGUCGCCCGUUCAAAUCGGGUCGGCUCCA
rnacentral:tRNA from 1 species